UACGUAGGGGGCAAGCGUUGUCCGGAUUUAUUGGGCGUAAAGAGCGUGUAGGCGGCCAGAUAGGUCCGUUGUGAAAACUGGAGGCUUAACCUCCAGCUGUCGAUGGAAACCAUCUGGCUAGAGUCCGGAAGAGGAGAGUGGAAUUCCUGGUGUAGUGGUGAAAUGCGCAGAUAUCAGGAAGAACACCCGUGGCGAAGGCGGCUCUCUGGGACGGUACUGACGCUGAGACGCGAAAGCGUGGGGAGCGAACAGG
rnacentral:rRNA from 1 species